GCCGAAGUGGUGGAAUUUGGUAGACACGCCAUCUUGAGGGGGUGGUGGGGUUACUCCCGUGCGGGUUCGAAUCCCGCCUUCGGCACCA
rnacentral:tRNA from 1 species